rnacentral:rRNA from 1 species
UACGUAGGGGGCGAGCGUUGUCCGAAGUUACUGGGCGUAAAGCGCGCGUAGGCGGUCUCUUAAGUCUGGGGUGAAAGGUUCAGCGCUCAACGUGAACAGUGCCUUGGAUACUGGGGGACUUGAGUUCGGGAGGGGGCAGUGGAAUUCCUGGUGUAGCGGUGAAAUGCGUAGAUAUCAGGAGGAACACCGGUGGCGAAGGCGGCUGCCUGGCCUAGAACUGACGCUGAGGUGCGAAAGCGUGGGGAGCGAACGGG